rnacentral:rRNA from 1 species
GAUGAACGCUGGCGGCGUGCCUAAUACAUGCAAGUCGAGCGAACGGACGAGAAGCUUGCUUCUCUGAUGUUAGCGGCGGACGGGUGAGUAACACGUGGAUAACCUACCUAUAAGACUGGGAUAACUUCGGGAAACCGGAGCUAAUACCGGAUAAUAUUUUGAACCGCAUGGUUCAAAAGUGAAAGACGGUCUUGCUGUCACUUAUAGAUGGAUCCGCGCUGCAUUAGCUAGUUGGUAAGGUAACGGCUUACCAAGGCAACGAUGCAUAGCCGACCUGAGAGGGUGAUCGGCCACACUGGAACUGAGCCACGGUCCAGACUCCUACGGGAGGCAGCAGUAGGGAAUCUUACGCAAUGGGCGAAAGCCUAACGGAGCAACGCCGCGUGAGUGAUGAAGGUCUUCGGAUCGUAAAACUAUGUUAUUAGGGAAGAACAUAUGUGUAAGUAACUGUGCACAUCUUGACGGUACCUAAUCAGAAAGCCACGGCUAACUACGUG